rnacentral:tRNA from 1 species
GGAAGGUUGGCUCAAUGGUACAGCAGCGGUUUGCUAAACCGCCGUCGGGACUUCCCGGCAUGCAGGUUCGAGUCCUGCACCUUCCG